GCUAGAGAAACAGAGAUAACAUUUUAUAAAGGAGUUAAAGGCUUUUAUUUUUGAAUUGUUGUGUUUUGCUUCCCCUAGCUGUUUUUUUUUUUUUUUUUUCCAAAGAGCACUGAAGACUUAAUUGCCAAUCAGAGAAGGAACAUCAAGAGCAAGGCUAUUCGCUUUUUGACAAAAAUCUUUCUUUUGCUCUCUCCUGCCCUGGUGGAAAAACAUGCAGAGGAUGAAACAAUUCCUUGGAUAUUCUCUGUGUAUGCACACUCUGGACCCCCAUACUCAGAAAAGGGAAAAAGGUUCCAAUGAGGAGAGUUAAUUGAUAAGUGGACUCUGGAUUUGCUGGGAACUGAAUUUUACUUUUGAGUCCAGGUAUAGGGCUGAGCCUCUGUGAACACUGCAAGACAUCAAAUGGGUCGGGGCCAGCACUAUGGCAUAGUGGGUAAAGCUGCCGCUUGCAGUGCCAGCAUCACAUAUGGGGGUCGAUUCGAGUCCUGGCUGCUCCGUUUCCGAUCCAGCUCUCUGCUAUCGCCUGGGAAAGCAGUGGAAGAUAGCCCAAGUCCUUGGGUCCCAGCACCCACAUGAGAGACCCAGAAGAAGCCCCUGGCUCCUGGCUUUGGAUCAGCACAGCUCCGGCCUGUUAUGGUCAUCUGGGGAGUGAACCAGCAGAUGGAAGAUGUGUUUCUCUCUAUAUAUCUCUGCCUCUGCCUCUGCCUCUUCUUCUCUCUCUCUCUCUGUGAAACUCUUUCAAAUAAAUAAAGUAAUCUUUAAAGAAUAAAAAAAAAUCAGAUGGGUCACUCUUUCCGUGUAUCUCCAAAUUAAAUGACUCAACCCUCAGCAUAGCCAUUCAUUUUCCACCAAGGAAAAUGAGGUUAGCCUAUAGAAUCAGCGUCAACUGCUUUAUGCAGGAUUCAGAGGAGAGGUAUGAAAACCAUUCGCACGGGAGACCAGGAGGAAGCACCUGGCUCCUGGCUUCGGAUCAGCACAGCACCGGAUGUAGCGGCCAUUUGUGGGGUGAACCAACGGAAGGAAGACCUUUCUCUCUGUCUCUGUCUCUCUGUCUAACUUUGCCUGUUAAUAAAAAAAGUGACAGAAUCUGACUUUUCUGAUAUCUAUGGCAGCUGCAGAGACUAUGAUCAAGAAGUCAGAUAGGCAUACAUUUCUCCAAACUUAUGAUGAUGUUUUUCUCAAAUCAUUAAGGUAGAGCAAUAUAACGAUGGCCCUAUUGCACAAGGGAUUUGGAACUAAUUCUCCACAAUAUCCAAUGACUAUCAAAAAAUGACUAGGGGGCAGUCUGUGGGGAAAGCUAGAUUCAUGGGCCUCCAAUUAUAGAAAUUAUUCAAUGCUUAUACAGUUACACAGGACAAUGGUGUUUGCAUGUACUGCAGUAAAGUGAAGCAACGAUGCUACUUUUCUUUUCUCACUCAUUAUCUACAUCUUGUUUCUCCCAGCCCUCAUGUAUUUUCUUUAAUAUAAUAAUCUCUUUUUGAAUCUGAUUUUCUACAAAUGAGAGAUCACAGGAUAUAACUGCAUUUUAGAUCCAUCUUUUCUCUUUCUAUAUCUUUUAUGAAAGUCUGUGGCAAGUUGAAAUAAAACCAUGUAAACAUUGUACUGAUUAUUUCUCUGGGUAGAUAAAUAUUUCUACUUCUAAAUUCAUAAAUAAAACCUUUUGGAAAAAUGACUAUAGUAUAUUAUAAAAUCCAUGGACAAAUUUCCAAUCAGGCCAACACUUUGUUGUAUAUUCCAUCCCAAAUAUUAAUUCUACUUAACAGUGUCUGUAUUUGGUAGUAUCUGAAGCCCCCGCAAUGAGGGACUUGAAGAAAGAGAUCAUUACUUCAGCAAUAGAAUCCCAUGUGUUAACAAAAAUGUGUUGUUGCUCAAAUAAAUUUUUCCCAGAUCCCUGAUUUUGCCAAUUGUGUUUUUAGACUCAGUAACUUCUGUCGACUCAACACUUAGCCUGAAGCAUGACACACAGCUCACACUCAAUAAUGUUUUCAGGAGACUUUUGUCCAAGUUCCCUUUCUCUUUAACAGGCAUAAAUCAGAAUAUGGGACUGGAAAUGUGUCUGUGGAACAAAAAAUAAGUGUCAUACAA